GUGGGGAAUAUUGGACAAUGGGCGAAAGCCUGAUCCAGCCAUGCCGCGUGUGUGAAGAAGGUCUUCGGAUUGUAAAGCACUUUAAGUUGGGAGGAAGGGCAGUAAGUUAAUACCUUGCUGUUUUGACGUUACCGACAGAAUAAGCACCGGCUAACUUCGUGCCAGCAGCCACGGUAAUACGAAGGGUGCAAGCGUUAAUCGGAAUUACUGGGCGUAAAGCGCGCGUAGGUGGUUUUGUAAGUUGGAGGUGAAAUCCCCGGGCUCAACCUGGGAACUGCCUCCAAAACUGCAUGACUAGAGUACGGUAGAGGGUAGUGGAAUUUCCUGUGUAGCGGUGAAAUGCGUAGAUAUAGGAAGGAACACCAGUGGCGAAGGCGACUACCUGGACUGAUACUGACACUGAGGUGCGAAAGCGUGGGGAGCAAACAGGAUUAGAUACCCCUGUAGUCC
rnacentral:rRNA from 1 species